GUACUCACUUCAGAAGCAUAUAUACUAAAAUUAGAACCAUCCAGAGAAGAUUAGCAUGGCCCCUAUACAAGGAUGACAUGCAAAUUCAUGAAGUAUUCCGUGGUUUU